UAAUACGAAGGGGGCUAGCGUUGUUCGGAAUUACUGGGCGUAAAGGGCGCGUAGGCGGCCUGCUAAGUCGAACGUGAAAUCCCUGGGCUCAACCCAGGAACUGCGUCCGAUACUGGUUGGCUUGAAUCCGGGAGAGGGAUGUGGAAUUCCAGGUGUAGCGGUGAAAUGCGUAGAUAUCUGGAGGAACACCGGUGGCGAAGGCGACAUCCUGGACCGGUAUUGACGCUGAGGCGCGAAAGCCAGGGGAGCAAACGGGAUUAGAUACCCCGGUAGUCCUGGCCCUAAACGAUGAAUGCUUGGUGUGGCGGGUAUCGAUCCCUGCCGUGCCGAAGCUAACGCAUUAAGCAUUCCGCCUGGGGAGUACGGUCGCAAGGCUG
rnacentral:rRNA from 1 species